GACGAGCCACCCGAACGUUAUUCGGAAUUACUGGGCUUAAAGGGUGCGUAGGCGGUGUAGCAAGUCGGGAGUGAAAUACCCCAGCUUAACUGAGGAAUUGCUUUCGAUACUGCUGCGCUUGAGUGAGACAGAGGUAAGCGGAACUUAGGGUGGAGCGGUGAAAUGCGUUGAUAUCCAAGGAACACCGGUGGCGAAGGCGGCUUACUGGGUCUCAACUGACGGCUGAGGCACGAAAGCUAGGGUAGCAAACGGG
rnacentral:rRNA from 1 species